AUUCCAGCUCCAAUAGCGUAUAUUAAAGUUGUUGCAGUUAAAACGCUCGUAGCCGGAUUUCGGGGCGGGCCGACCGGUCUGCCGAUGGGUAUGCACUGGCCGGCGCGUCCUUCCACCCGGAGACCGCGCCUACUCUUAACUGAGCGGGCGCGGGAGACGGGUCUUUUACUUUGAAAAAAUCAGAGUGUUUCAAGCAGGCAGUCGCUCUUGCAUGGAUUAGCAUGGGAUAAUGAAAUAGGACUCUGGUGCUAUUUUGUUGGUUUCGAACACCGGAGUAAUGAUUAACAGGGACAGUCAGGGGCACUCGUAUUCCGCCGAGAGAGGUGAAAUUCUCAGACCAGCGGAAGACGAACCACUGCGAAAGCAUUUGCCAGGGAUGUUUUCAUUA
rnacentral:rRNA from 1 species